rnacentral:rRNA from 1 species
GAUCCUGACUCAGGAUGAACGCUAGCUACAGGCUUAACACAUGCAAGUCGAGGGGCAUCAGGGUGUAGCAAUACACCGCUGGCGACCGGCGCACGGGUGAGUAACACGUAUCCAACCUGCCCUUUACUCGGGGAUAGCCUUUCGAAAGAAAGAUUAAUACCCGAUGGUAUAACAUGACCUCCUGGUUUUGUUAUUAAAGAAUUUCGGUAGAGGAUGGGGAUGCGUUCCAUUAGGCAGUUGGCGGGUAACGCCCACC